CAGGGGGGCAAGCGUUGUUCGGAAUUACUGGGCGUAAAGGGCCAGUAGGCGGCCAACUAAGUCCGACGUGAAAUCCCCAGGCUCAACCUGGGAACUGCGUCGGAUACUGGAUGGCUUGAAUUCGGGAGAGGGAUGCAGAAUUCCAGGUGUAGCGGUGAAAUGCGUAGAUAUCUGGAGGAAUACCGGUGGCGAAGGCGGCAUCCUGGACCGACAUUGACGCUGAAUGGCGAAAGCUAGGGGAGCAAACGGGAUUAGAUACCCCGGUAGUCCUAGCCCUAAACGAUGAAUGCUUGGUGUGGCGGGUAUCGAUCCCUGCCGUGCCGAAGCUAACGCAUUAAGCAUUCCGCCUGGGGAGUACGGUCGCAAGGCUG
rnacentral:rRNA from 1 species